CCCUUAGAUGUUCUGGGCCGCACGCGCGCUACACUGAUUCAUGCAACAAGUUUUGUCCUUGGCUGAUAGGCCUGGGUAAUCUUUGAACGCGAAUCGUGAUGGGGAUAGAUGAUUGCAAUUAUUCAUCUUCAACGAGGAAUUCCUAGUAAACGCAAGUCAUCAGCUUGCAUUGAUUACGUCCCUGCCCUUUGUACACACCGCCCGUCGCACCUACCGAUUGAAUGGUCCGGUGAAAUCUUCGGAUCUGAGAGAUGUCUGAUUAAUUUCGGACGCCUUUUGGAAAAGUUGUUUAAACCUUACCAUUUAGAGGAAGGUGAAGUCGUAACA
rnacentral:rRNA from 1 species